rnacentral:rRNA from 2 species
UGAGACACGGCCCAGACUCCUACGGGAGGCAGCAGUAGGGAAUCUUCCGCAAUGGACGAAAGUCUGACGGAGCAACGCCGCGUGAGUGAGGAAGGCCUUCGGGUCGUAAAGCUCUGUUGUGAGCGAAGAAGCGGUACCGUUCGAAUAGGGCGGUACCUUGACGGUACCUCACCAGAAAGCCACGGCUAACUACGUGCCAGCAGCCGCGGUAAUACGUAGGUGGCAAGCGUUGUCCGGAAUUAUUGGGCGUAAAGCGCGCGCAGGCGGCUUCUUAAGUCUGAUGUGAAAUCUCGGGGCUCAACCCCGAGCGGCCAUUGGAAACUGGGGAGCUUGAGUGCAGAAGAGGAGAGUGGAAUUCCACGUGUAGCGGUGAAAUGCGUAGAGAUGUGGAGGAACACCAGUGGCGAAGGCGACUCUCUGGUCUGUAACUGACGCUGAGGCGCGAAAGCGUGGGGAGCAAACAGGAUUAGAUACCCUGGUAGUCCACGCCGUAAACGAU